rnacentral:rRNA from 1 species
GACGUAGGGCGCGAGCGUUGUCCGGAUUUAUUGGGCGUAAAGGGCUCGUAGGCGGCUUGUUGCGUCGACCGUGAAAACCCGGGGCUCAACUUCGGGCUUGCGGUCGAUACGGGCGGGCUAGAGUUCGGUAGGGGAGACUGGAAUUCCUGGUGUAGCAGUGAAAUGCGCAGAUAUCAGGAGGAACACCGGUGGCGAAGGCGGGUCUCUGGGCCGAUACUGACGCUGAGGAGCGAAAGCGUGGGGAGCGAACAGG